rnacentral:rRNA from 1 species
GAUGAACGCUGGCGGCGUGCCUAAUACAUGCAAGUCGAACGCUUCACUUCGGUGAAGAGUGGCGAACGGGUGAGUAAUACAUAAGUAACCUGGCAUCUACAGGGGGAUAACUGAUGGAAACGUCAGCUAAGACCGCAUAGGUGUAGAGAUCGCAUGAACUCUAUAUGAAAAGUGCUACGGGACUGGUAGAUGAUGGACUUAUGGCGCAUUAGCUUGUUGGUAGGGUAACGGCCUACCAAGGCGACGAUGCGUAGCCGACCUGAGAGGGUGACCGGCCACACUGGGACUGAGACACGGCCCAGACUCCUACGGGAGGCAGCAGUAGGGAAUUUUCGGCAAUGGGGGAAACCCUGACCGAGCAACGCCGCGUGAAGGAAGAAGUAAUUCGUUAUGUAAACUUCUGUCAUCGAGGAAGAACGGUGGAUAUAGGGAAUGAUAUCCAAGUGACGGUACUCUAUAAGAAAGCCACGGCUAACUACGUG